GUGCUUGCUUCAGCAGCAGGCAGCACGUAUACUAAAAUUGGAACCAUACAGAGAAGAUUAGCAUGGCCCCUCCACAAGGAUGACACUCAAAUUCAUGAAGUGUUCUGUAUUUUA
rfam:Ailuropoda melanoleuca scaffold622_7, whole genome shotgun sequence.